rnacentral:lncRNA from 1 species
CACCGUGAAGAUCCAAGUUGGCUUCGUCUGGCCUGUUCUUUAUGACUUGGUCAUGUAUAGAAAGGGUUUCCUUGGGCACAGGCAGGUGCUAUUGCUUGACCGAAGUGUUGUAACAUGAUCGUGCACUAAGUUGAUCUCCUCUGAUGUAACCAUUGCCAUAGGGGGUUGGAAAUUUCAUCAACAACAUAUGUGUGGAUACCAUGGCCUUAAGAUCAUUGAUGCCUGUGCGUCCGAAGAUGACAUUGUAUACCGUUGGGCAAUCAACCACCAGGAAGUUAGUGGUAAUGGUAGCUGUGUAAGGGCAUGUACCAAUGGUGAGAGGUAAGUGUAUGCUCCCCAAAGGUUGCACGAUAUCACCGGAGAAGCUUAUCAAAGGGGAAAUCGAGCGAUCGAGCAAGUGUUCAGCUACAUUAAGUGCCUUGAAAGCUUCAGCAAACAUGAUAUUGACCGAAGCCCC